GCUCUACUGGACUUCAAUCGCAUUUCACGUCUGGGCUUUAUAAAACAUAUCGCAGUUUUCGUCUGGGCUUCAGGCUUAUUUGGGCUUCAUUUGUAAUUCCAUUACAUUUUUCAUUUCUUGUCUUUCCUGAAAUCUAAAAAAAAAAAAAAAAUCGACUACGGGAGGAUCUUCUCCUCUAUCUCUUCGUCUUCUCCGCUUGAUACCCUAGAGACUGAGCUCUGAUCGAUCCAACCUACACAAACGAAACUCCUCUUUUAUUUCAUCAAUAAAUUUCGGCUUUAUGUUUUCGUUUCAUCUCCCUAUGAUCCUCCUUCUUUAUAUAUUGAUCCUCUUAUCUUUGUACAAACACAAACCCUAGAAACUGCUCAAAUCUCAACCAUGGCGACGAAACCGAAUGGAAAGUCCCCUAUCUCAUCCGCCUCUGAUGAAAAAGUGAUGUUUUUCAGAGAUAUCUCUCUGGCUCCUCAUGAAGCUCAGCUGCGGUUCCGUCUGAUCUGUAAUUUCCCUCAGAAUUUCUAUGUUGGUAAAUGGACAUACUCUCACCGAGCGUCCCGUCCUUGACGAAGUGGAGAUAGCAGCUGUGAGACAUCUUCUGGUUCAUGUGCAAUUACAUGAUUGCCUGUGAUGAAGCUUUACCUUUGGGUUGCAACAGACUUCUGCAGAAAAUCAUAGUACCCUGUAAAGUUAUUUGUUGAUGACAACAGUGACCAAGCUGUUUUUGUACUACUUGGUGAUGAUGGUCGUGCACUUACUGGGAAGCAUGCAUCGGAAUUAGUUAGCAGCUACUUUGAGGCUAAUGACAACCAAGGAGUUGACCAAGAGGUUCCUGUCCCGGAAGCUCUAACCAACACAAUCGGACAAAGACAUAAGUUUUGUGUGAAAGUGACAGAGCAAACCUUAUCAGGCAAGACCCGAGCUAUAACUGUGACCAAUAUCCUCCCUCUAGACACUCCACCCGUAACAGGAACCUCGGCAGGAAACCACAUUGCUACCACAUGUUCUUUCUAGCCAUUUUAGUUUAAGUUUCCUGUGUAACUUGGCAAGUUUUUGAGCUUUUGUGCUCUUACUAGCUACCUGCUUACCUAUAUAUCGUUACAAUUGUGUAAAAACAUUUGUUCUUAUGAGCCUUUCUAAGGUUGUACGUAUAAUAAAUUGUCAAGAUACGUUAGAUAAA